rnacentral:misc_RNA from 1 species
AAGUUUUUUAAAGGAGGUAAGGUUCUUUGGAGGUUUCAAACCUCUAAAAACCUCACUUUUUUAACCCAUCAAAUUGGUGGAUUGAAGAAGUUUUGAUAGCUUACCUUCCAUCACCUUACCUUACCUUACCCUACUUUAAAAAACCUCCACAGUCCACACACUCAAUUCAAGCAUACUGUAAGUGUUCUAUUGUGUUCUAUACAGUGUUAUUAAAGGUGCGCCUUGCGCGAAGGGCAGCUCCAAUGAAGUCAGCCCACCAAUUGCAAGAAGAACAAGAAGUAACACAAUAUUGGUUGAAAUUGUAAUGUGUACUGAGGCUUAUGAUGGUAAUGGGCUAAUGGUCGCAAUGAAUUGAUGGUUAUUGGCCUCAUAGUUAUUAGGCUAAACUUAAUUUAGAGCUAAUUUAUUUUGUUAAUGUUUUUCUACAUGUUUUUUUUU